rnacentral:rRNA from 2 species
UAAAUCAGUUAUCGUUUAUUUGAUAGUACCUUACUACUUGGAUAACCGUGGUAAUUCUAGAGCUAAUACAUGCUGAAAACCCUGACUUCGGAAAGGGUGUAUUUAUUAGAUAAAAAACCAAUGCCCUUUGGGCUCUUUGGUGAUUCAUGAUAACUUAACGGAUCGCAUGGCCUUGCGCCGGCGACGGUUCAUUCAAAUUUCUGCCCUAUCAACUUUCGAUGGUAAGGUAUUGGCUUACCAUGGUUUCAACGGGUAACGGGGAAUUAGGGUUCGAUUCCGGAGAGGGAGCCUGAGAAACGGCUACCACAUCCAAGGAAGGCAGCAGGCGCGCAAAUUACCCAAUCCCGACACGGGGAGGUAGUGACAAUAAAUACUGAUACAGGGCUCUUUAGGGUCUUGUAAUCGGAAUGAGUACAAUUUAAACCUCUUAACGAGGAACAAUUGGAGGGCAAGUCUGGUGCCAGCAGCCGCGGUAAUUCCAGCUCCAAUAGCGUAUAUUAAAGUUGUUGCAGUUAAAAAGCUCGUAGUUGAAUCUUGGGCCUGGCUGGCCGGUCCGCCUCACCGCGUGUACUGGUCUGGCCGGGCCUUUCCUUCUGGAGAACCUCAUGCCCUUCAGUGGGUGUGUUGGGGAACCAGGACUUUUACUUUGAAAAAAUUAGAGUGUUCAAAGCAGGCCUUUGCUCGAAUACGUUAGCAUGGAAUAAUAGAAUAGGACGUGCGGUCCUAUUUUGUUGGUUUCUAGGACCGCCGUAAUGAUUAAUAGGGAUAGUCGGGGGCAUCAGUAUUCAAUUGUCAGAGGUGAAAUUCUUGGAUUUAUUGAAGACUAACUACUGCGAAAGCAUUUGCCAAGGAUGUUUUCAUUAAUCAGUGAACGAAAGUUAGGGGAUCGAAGACGAUCAGAUACCGUCGUAGUCUUAACCGUAAACUAUGCCGACUAGGGAUCGGGCGAUGUUUCUAUCUUGACUCGCUCGGCAC